GACGAACGCUGGCGGCGUGCCUAAUACAUGCAAGUCGAACGCAGUGGGGGCGGGUGAGUAACACGUGGCUAACCUCCCAUCAGAGGGGAUAACACUUGGCAACUGGUGCUAAACCGAUACUGAUGUAUGUCAUCGCGUGGCUGUAGCCAGUUGGUGAGGUAACGGCUCACCAAGGCCACGAUGCAUAGCCGACCUGAGAGGGUGAUCGGCCACACUGGGACUGAGACACGGCCCAGACUCCUACGGGAGGCAGCAGUAGGGAAUCUUCGGCAAUGGACGAAAGUCUGACCGAGCAACGCCGCGUGAGUGAAGAAGGUUUUCGGAUCGUAAAACUCUGUUGUUAGAGAAGCGGUAUCUAACCAGAAAGCCACGGCUAACUACGUGCCAGCAGCCGCGGUAAUUC
rnacentral:rRNA from 1 species